UUGUCAGGUGGGAUAAUCCUUACCUGUUCCUCCUUUGGAGGGGAGAUAAAACAUGAUGAUUGGAGAUGCAUGAAACUUAA
ensembl:snoRNA U8 U8 small nucleolar RNA